rnacentral:lncRNA from 1 species
GCAGAGCUGUGCUUGGUCUUGAGCUCUCAGUUUAGGAAGACAACCGGAACUUCAUGAGAAGAGGGGAGAAGGCCCCAGUAGCUCUCUUGCGGCCUGAGUACCCAUGAGUCAGGACAGUGCGCUCCAGACAACCGCCAGAGGCCAAAGGGCAACUUGGCCUUCACCGCAGUUUUGCUCAAAAUACACAGUAAGCGGGUGGCAGGAAGUGAGUUGCAGCAACCUCAAGUGAUGUGUGAAAGUUUCCAACUAGAAAUUCAAAGAACUUGUCUUUGUUUAAUGGAAAAGUGAAACAAAUUCUUUCUUGUGCUCCUCAUCUUUGGUUGUUCCCGGCUGAGGGCUGGGUCCGGGGCAGGAACAAGGUGAACAUUCACUCCUUGAAGACUACAGGAUCUGGUGUGAUGGGAAGUUAGUCAGGCAGGUAUGUGGGUUCAGGACAGAUGACUGCCUGAGCUAGACUGCACCUACAGUGUGUUAUUAAUAAAGGUUUAUUGGCACAGACUGUGUCUGCUUAUGUAGAGUCGAUGCUGUUUUCACAGAACAAGGCCAACAAUGAGUAGCUAACAAGGCCAUGCACCCAAAGUCAUCCUUCUGCCAAAUUUGCUCCCUGGAUCUUUAAAAAACCAAACAAACAUGUGACAGCAGUUCUCGAAUUCAUGGGUCCUUAGUUUUCCCCGUGUAAAGGGCGCCUCUGAAAGUACGGUGUAGCUGUCUACGCGACUCCCGAUAAAGAAGUUUGUGACUUUCUGACUGAGGAUGCCAGGUCACCCAGUGGCCUCUCUCGCAAGCUUGCAAUGGUGUAGACUAUUCUGGCUCAUCAAGAGAAGCGCUGCAGCAGUAAGGGGGACAUCUGCUCGGACUCCCUCGCCCACCCACUGCAACGGCAGUUAUGAUGGGGUCCAGCAUCCGCCUGACAUCCACAGUAUGUUUCGCCUCUCCCUGCUUCUCCAUGCUCCUACAUUAGGUAAGUUUUUUGGGGGAGAAUUAAUGUGGGGUGAGGAACGGGUACGUAGCGAGCAUCACAUGGAAUAGCUAGGGAGAUCUCAAGAUAUUCUCCUUGGGGUGUGGAGCCAUGCUGUCUCUAUGAGGCCAUUUUAGGAUUCAUCUAAGAUUUUGAAACAUCUACUUUUUUUGUCUUUACCACGAUCGACUGAAAGCAAAAGGUUCUGACAGACUAACUGUAUCACCCACGCUAAAGAAGACUGCAAAGGCGGGCUCUCCAGUCUUCUUCACACCCUCUUAAAGAUGGCACCCCACUCUGCCAAGGUGCUAAGAACACCAAGAGGGACGUGGCCACAGCGGUGCAGUUC